rnacentral:rRNA from 1 species
ACGGAAGGCAGCAGUGGGGGAUAUUGCACAAUGGGCGCAAGCCUGAUGCAGCAACGCCGCGUGAGGGAUGACGGUUUUCGGAUUGUAAACCUCUGUCUUUGGUGACGAAGAAGUGACGGUAGCCAAGGAGGAAGCCACGGCUAACUACGUGCCAGCAGCCGCGGUAAUACGUAGGUGGCAAGCGUUAUCCGGAAUUACUGGGUGUAAAGGGAGCGCAGGCGGGACAGCAAGUCAGCGGUGAAAUGUAUGGGCUCAACCCAUGAACUGCCGUUGAAACUGUUGUUCUUGAGUGGAGUAGAGGUAGGCGGAAUUCCGAGUGUAGCGGUGAAAUGCGUAGAUAUUCGGAGGAACACCAGUGGCGAAGGCGGCCUACUGGGCUCUAACUGACGCUGAGGCCCGAAAGUGUGGGGAGCAAACAGGAUUAGAUACCCUGGUA